rnacentral:rRNA from 1 species
UACGUAGGGUGCAAGCGUUGUCCGGAAUUAUUGGGCGUAAAGAGCGUGUAGGCGGCCCGAUUAGUCCGCUGUGAAAGUCCAGGGCUCAACCCUGGAAUGCCGGUGGAUACUGUCGGGCUAGAGUCCGGAAGGGGCGAGUGGAAUUCCUGGUGUAGCGGUGAAAUGCGCAGAUAUCAGGAGGAACACCAAUGGCGAAGGCAGCUCGCUGGAACGGUACUGACGCUGAGGCACGAAAGCUAGGGGAGCGAACGGG